AUUGAACGCUGGCGGCAUGCUUUACACAUGCAAGUCGAACGGCAGCGCGGGGCAACCUGGCGGCGAGUGGCGAACGGGUGAGUAAUAUAUCGGAACGUACCCAGAAGUGGGGGAUAACGUAGCGAAAGUUACGCUAAUACCGCAUACUAUCUACGGAUGAAAGUAGGGGACCGCAAGGCCUUAUGCUUUUGGAGCGGCCGGUAUCUGCUUAUAUAGGUUGUGGGGUAAAGGCUCACCAAGGCGACGAUCAGCAGCUGGUCUGAGAGGACGACCAGCCACACUGGAACGGAGCACGGGUCAAGACCCCUACGGGAGGAAGCAGUGGGAAAUUUUGGACAAUGGGCGAAAGCCUGAUCAAGCAAUGCCGCGUGAGUGAAGAAGGCCUUCGGUUUGUAAAGCUCUUUUGUCAGGGAAGAAACGGUAGAGGCUAAUACCCUUUGCUAAUGACGGAACCUGAGAAUAAGCACCGGCUAACUACGUG
rnacentral:rRNA from 1 species